GUGUCAGCCGCCGCGGUAAUACGAAGGGGGCUAGCGUUGUUCGGAAUGACUGGGCGUAAAGGGUGUGUAGGCGGUUAUACGCGUCAGAUGUGAAAUCCCCGGGCUUAACCUGGGAAUGGCAUUUGAUACGGUAUAGCUAGAGAUUGGUAGAGGGUAGAGGAAUUGCGAGUGUAGAGGUGAAAUGCGUAGAUAUCUGCAGGAACACCCGUGGCGAAAGCGGCGAGCUGGAUCACUACUGACGCUGAGGAACGAAAGCUAGGGGAGCAAACAGGAUUAGAAACCCGCGUAGUCC
rnacentral:rRNA from 1 species